rnacentral:rRNA from 1 species
GACGAACGCUGGCGGCGUGCUUAACACAUGCAAGUCGAGCGGUAAGGCCCUUUCGGGGGUACACGAGCGGCGAACGGGUGAGUAACACGUGGGUGACCUGCCCUCAGCUCUGGGAUAAGCCUGGGAAACUGGGUCUAAUACCGGAUAUGACUCCAUGACGCAUGUUGUGGGGUGGAAAGCCUUGUGCGGCUGAGGAUGGGCCCGCGGCCUAUCAGCUUGUUGGUGGGGNGAUGGCCUACCAAGGCGACGACGGGUAGCCGGCCUGAGAGGGCGACCGGCCACACUGGGACUGAGACACGGCCCAGACUCCUACGGGAGGCAGCAGUGGGGAAUCUUGCGCAAUGGGCGAAAGCCUGACGCAGCGACGCCGCGUGAGGGAUGACGGCC